AGGGUCCGCAGCUGCGCAGAGAAUGAAAUGGAGGGUCCAUCACCGACAAGGCAGGCCUCUCUUCAGAAUGAAAACCUUGGCAGGGGAUUCCCAGUUUCUUUCAUUGAAGAUUUUAUUAGAGAAGAAAAAUUUUAUACCAAGUAUAUUUAUGCCCACAGCCAUGUAAAAAUGUGACCACAGGAAGAAUACGGGAGAAGUGAAGUAAUAAAGAGGAGGAUGUGAAGAGACACAGCUAGCAAGUAUGGGCCAUCCUGUCAGGUAUUU